AUUGUUUCUCAUCCCCUUGGCUAAGAUCAAGCACAGGUACCUGUUCUUAUCAAUUUAACAUCUGAUACAUACAUCCUCUAUCCAUGGCAACAGAUUAAAUGGAUUUUUGGAGCAGGGAAUUCGAAUAGGAGUUGCUGUAUCCACACUCUGCAUCCACCCGGCAUUGUGGUACCUACGGGAAUGGAGCGCCCCCU